rnacentral:rRNA from 1 species
AUUGAACGCUGGCGGCAGGCUUAACACAUGCAAGUCGAGCUAGCGGCGGACGGGUGAGUCAUGUCUGUGAAACUGCCUGAUGGAGGGGGAUCACUACUGGAAACGGUAGCUAAUACCGCAUACCCUCAGAUGACACCAGAUGGGAGUAGCUAGUAGGUGGGGUAAUGGCUCACCUGGGCGACGAUCCCUAGCUGGCCUGAGAUGAUGACCAGCCACACUGGAACUGAGACACGGUCCAGACUCCUACAGGAGGCAGGAGUGGGGAAUAUGGCACAAUGGGCGCAAGCCUUAUUGAGCCAUGCCGCGUUUGUGAAGAAGGCCUUCUGGUUGUAAAGCACUUUCAGCGAGGAGGCGUUACUCGCAGAAGAAGCACCGGCUAACUCCGUGCCAGCAGCCGCGGUAAUUC